CGAGUUGGAUUUGGUGUUGUCGUGACGCUCGACGCUCACAGUUGAGACCCAGCAGCAGUUUGGCGCCGUACAGUGUGUUGUGUGUCGAGAGAGAGAGAGAGACAAGUGGUGUGAGUGUUGUGUGUGUUGUGUGUGUGUUGGCUUGAGAGAGAAGGUCUCUAGCUGUGAGUGUGUUUGUGUGUGUCUUGAUCGUAUUGAAUUGAAUUGGCCGUGUGUGCAAUCUAGAUAUAUAAUUAGCUGGCGAAAAGUGGCCUACAUGUAAGAAAAGCAUCGGCUGGCGCCACCCAGAGGUUUCGUCGAAUGCUGAGCUGCUGCAGCCACUGCAGUCUGACUGGAGUGGGUAAAAAUGCGCCCGGGAUUGAUCACAUCGGCGUUUGAUAGUUGAGACACAAGACGACGGUGGUGGCACAACCAGUUUUGGGCCUCCUUUUCUCGUCGUCGUCGUCGUCGUCAUGAUGGCCGAGCCCAGCAGCAGUCACAGCAAGCCGACGGUUCAGCAACAACAGCAGGUUGUUGCCAACGAAUUGUCGUCGAGCAAGACAUCAACUUUGCCCGUCCGUGACCGGCUCAACACGCCGGCGCCGACCCAACAUCCACGGACGGAUGCAAUUUCCAAUUCAGGAGAUGGGCGCAAUGUGCGCGGUCCGCGCUGCAUCACGAUCCAGCGUUCCAGCGCCGGAUUCGGAUUUACCUUGCGUCACUUUAUCGUCUACCCGCCCGAUUCCGUUUCCGAUUGCCCCGAGGAAUGGCAGCGAGGAAUGUCGGCCGGCCUGCUCGACCCCAUGAUACCCAUGGACACCAUCUUCGUCAAGCACGUGAGAGAGAACGGACCCGCCGUCAAGGCUGGACUUUCCACUGGUGACCAGGUGGUGAGUGUCAAUGGCGAGUCGGUCAUGUGCAAAUCCUACGCCCAGGUGGUGCAAAUGAUACAGAAAAGUGGACCCAAUCUCCAGCUGGUCGUGAUGCCCAAAGAGCACGACGUCCUCCAGCAGUGUUUCGCCGAUACGGCCCACAAUCCGUACACGAAUGCCAGGCCAGUGAUUCCAGCGGCGGGCAGUGCCGAAGACCAGACGGGCAAAAUGACGAUGAUGAUGGACCCCCUGAAGCCCAACAACAUCAUGUCGCACCUGCCGCGGCCAAAACCUUACCAACCCUUCCAGGUGGAAACCAAAAAGCCGGUGACGCCACAACAACAGGCCGGCGCCCACGUUCAGAAAGCGACGCAGCAGCAACCGCUCGGUCGGGUCCUGUCGCCACUGGUGACGGCCGGAACGACGACCACUACCACCACGACGACGGCAGCCAUCAGCCGCCCCACGGUGGCGGCGGCUAGCGACGAUGCGGCCGUUGCGGCCCAGGCCCGUCUGGCCGCUGCCGCCGCUCUCGUGUCGAAAAGCGUCCGCAAAUCGGCCGAUUUCAAUCCCAACGGAGGAGCCGCCGGCAGUCGCGGCAGUUUGGUCGGUGGCGGAGGAGGAGGCGACUACUACCCCGGAGCGACGACGGGAUUCUCGUCGUCGUCCGUUUCGGCCGUCUCGGCCGUCCACUCGAAAAGAAGUUCCUACGCCGGAACGCCAACUUGCAAAACGGAAUUCAUUCACAGCAUCAACGCUCCGGCCGCUUUCACCAGUCCUCCAGCGGCGGCCGGAUCGGUCGGCGGCCACGCCCGUUACGCCGAUCCGUCCAGUCUGCCUCAUCAGCAUCACCACCACCACCAGCAACAACAGCCACAGCAGCAGCACCACCAGUUCCAUUACCCGGUGCAUCCGAUGGAAAUGGUGGCGGCCAUUCACGGCAGCGUGUCCAGCCUCCAGCAACAGCAGCAGAACCUGCGCGACUCUCCGCUCAAUUCCAGCAAGGGCAGUCUGUACUCGGCCGCCUCCGAGUGCAACGAGCAGCAGUCGCACCAGCAGGCCCAGGUCAUGACCCGCAUCAAGAAGAGCUUUGAGCAAAAGGAGGAAUUCCUCAAGAGGCCGGCCCUGCCCUAUUGGGUCAACGUCCAGGAGGCCCAGCAGUCGCCGCCCGUCCCCAAAGAAUUCUACGCCCAGCCACAGAAAUUCGCCCGGCCCGUCUGGCCGCCCAUCAGCGCCUCGCUGACGGCGUCGCUCGACUCGCUCUCCUCCUCGGACGUGACGACCACGCCCACCCAGCAACAACCUCCGCAACAACUUCAGCAGCAACAACAACAUCACAAAUCGACGGCUGUUACCAAGACUGAAGUGAUCCACACGGGCAUCACGUCGAUGGAGCCCUGGUCCGUCUCCUUCACCUCCAAGAGAGCCACGCCCCCGGCCAGUCCGUCUCAGUCGCCGGGCGCCGUCGGCCUGGGAUUGGUGCCCAACACGGUGCCCAAACCUUUUUACGGCUCGACCAACACCACGACGACGACGACAACAACGACGACGGUGACGGCCAGCAGCAACAGCACGGGCAGCCCGUCCGGCAACAAACAAUUCGUGUCGACGUUGAGUCGGAUCCAGGAGAACAUUGCGGCUGAACCUCCGCCGGAGCCCAAACCCAGCCGGCAGUUGACGUUGAUGCACGCCCCGCUGGCUUCGCCGGAAGAAUUUUUCACGCCGUCACCCACCAAGGCCGGCCAGCAUCCGCUGGCAGCCUCUUCGGUAGCAACAGCCAACCAGUCGUCGUCAGCGGCCGGUGCUUCUGCUGCUGCUGCUCCGGUCGUCGUCAAGCGAACCAAACCGUUUGAAAAUGGCGCCGAAAAGGGCCUUCUGGCCCGGAUCGCUCAGCGCGGCAAACAACAACAGGAAGCGGCCGCCGUCGCCGCCGCCGCUGUGGCCGCCGCAGCCGCCGCCUCCGCCGCUGCCGCCGAACGAUACAGUAAAUCGACGUCGGAAUUUCAACGGGUGCCGGCCGGCGGUUCGGGCAACCGCACCGUCAUCAUUGGCAGUUCGAAUUUGCAUUGCCAACCGCCCGCCAUGGAAAUGGAAUUCCCACCCAACACCUAUGAUGCACAAGUCACGUGGAACGAGGAGGAGGAACGUAAAAGUCUCGUCUUGAGGCAGCACUCGUACCGUUCCGCCGUCCGUGAUUUCGCCGCCUCAGCUUCCUCGCCUAGUCCGCUACAACUGACAACUGACUUGUCGCUGGAUGAGAACUCGAACACGAGUGCGUCCAGCAGCAUUGUGGCGGUCAGUCGCGUCAAAAAGCGACCCUCCCACUUGCAACUAACCGGCAACGACCAGCUGAGCCAACAGCAACAACAACAACAACAGUCGUGGCUCGUCCAACAACCGCCCGCCAAAGGUCCUUGCUUGCAAACUGACAUCGACGCCGAUGACAAUGUCUCUGCUACUACCACCACUACCACUACUACUACCUCUACCUCCUCCAACAACAACAACAACAUUAACUGUUUGGCCACGGUCGAUAGGACCGGAAGCUCUGGUAGUCCAUUGUCCCUGCCACGACCCAGUCCCAUCGCUUCUGAUUUUGAGUUGUCCGUUUUGGAGCGAUUCGACCAGCUCCUGGCUUCUUUAGGGACCUCCUCAGGAUCGAGCAGCCUCGGCAGUAGCGGGAGCAUCACGGUCCACCAACAGCAGGAGAGUCAACAGUCGCUCACGAAAAUGACGACGACGCCCGCCGCGACGGCCAGUGUCAAUCGACGCCAAAAGAUUUACGAUGACGACUCUGACCGGGGCAUGAGACGCAUAUCGUAUCUGAAAGCGCAGGCCGGCAAUCCCGUAGACGGGCCGUCUCUACUAGGGUCGGCCACGACCACGGAAGCCGAAACGGUGGUGACGGCCACCACCAACACGGCCACCACCACCACGACGCCCAUCAACAACGAGCACACAGCCAAAGGUUCGACUUCGUGGGCCGUGGUUAAGGUGGAGACGAAUCUGACGAUGAUGGUGUCGGCGAUGGAUCGUGUCCAGCCGCCGGUUGGCAUGAUCUCUCGCCUCCGGCAGUAUUUUGAAGACAAGUCGAGGCCACCUCCUCCGCCUCCAUCGCAUCCGCGCAUUGCCGCCACCACCACCACCACCAACGCCACACCAACUCCCCUGUCGUCAACUUCGACGCUGGCCAGCAAAACGGCCGCCGCCUCGGCCCAUCCUCCACCGCUGGCCCCCAGUCGACGUUCUGCCCAUCAGCCGCACAGCAUCCAGAAACUGCGUUCGCUCUUUGGCGACACCAAGGUCUCACUGACGUCCAAAUCGCAGCAGCAGGGAGGAGGAGGAGAUUCCAGCGGAGCUCAUCCGCCCAGUCCGUCGGAAGCCGAAGGACGCGAAGGAUGGCUCUACGUCAAGCAGACCAUCAUCGACUGCCGGCGAUCCACCGACCGAUCCUGGAGGCAAAUGUGGACCCGCAUCCGAUCUGGCACGGUCCAUUUCACGCGGGAUCGCAACACGGCCAUGGCCAGCAAUGGCAACAACAGCUACAGCAGCUACAACAGCAAUAGCGGCUCGACGCCAGGAGCCGGAGCCGACGACAUGAUGAUCGACUUGCGCGGAUGCACCGUCGAGGUGGCCGUCUACUACACCAAACGCAAGAACGUCCUCCGGCUGUCGACGUUCAACGGCCUCUGCGAGUACCUGAUGCAAUGCGAGGACAGCAGCGACAUGGUCCUCUGGCUGGACUCGUUCCAGCAGGAGCAGGCCGCCGCCAACAGCAGCGACAAGGAGGACGGACCGGGGUCCAGCUACAGCAGCAGCGAGAUGAUGCUGGUCAGACAGGCUCACGAGGCCGAUAACAAUUCAAUGGCCCACGGCCGUCGCAUGGGCCGCUUCACUCUGCACCGCAAUCGCUCGCCCACCGGACACUCGCCCGUCUCCAAGACGCGGAAACCCAGUUUGCCGGGAACGAUAGGCGGUGGUGGCGGCGGCGGCGGGAGCAACAGCACCGACGGACCCAAUUCCACGCCGGCCAACGCCAACAAACCCACCACCUGGCGGCGUAAAGUUGUCCAGCAAUUCAAAAAGAUCCAGGGCAAUUCUCCCAAUUCACAAGCCAACGCGAUGAUACCCGAAGGAGCCACGAUCGGAGUUCCGCUGGAAUUCUGCCCGCGAUCCUCUCUGUCGGAGAGCAUUCCGCUGAUUGUGGAACUCUGCGUCGGGAUCGUCGAAGCCCGCGGGCUGGAGAGCGUCGGCGUCUACCGAGUGCCGGGCAACAGCGUGGCCGUCAACGCCCUGUCGGACUCGCUCAACCGCGGCUUUGACGGGCUGAACCAGUCGGAUCCGCGCUGGAACGACGUCAACGUCAUCUCAUCGUUGAUGAAAUCCUUUUUCCGCAAACUGCCCGAGCCGCUGGUCACGUCCGAACUCUACGGGGCCUUGAUCGAGGCCAGCAAGACGGAGCCGGAGCAGGUGCGAUUCAAUUCCAUCAAGCGGCUGGUGGACGAGCUGCCGGAGCCGCACUACUCGACGCUGCGCUACCUGGUGGGCCACUUGUCGCGGGUGGCCGGCAAGAGCCACGUCAACAAGAUGGAAGCCCGCAACCUGGCCAUCGUCUUUGGUCCGACGCUGAUCCGGCCAGGUGACGACAGCACCGUCACUAUGGUGACGGACAUGUCGCAUCAGUGCCGCAUCGUCGAGACGCUCAUCGACAAGGUCGACUUCUUCUUCCCUCCCGAUCAGGAUCAACCGGUGGACCCUGUCCAGCAGCAGCAGCAGCAACAACCCAAUUCGCCCACCACUCUGGCCAGCAAUAGCAACCUGUUGAGCAGCGCCGAUGAGCGCAAGGAUUCCUACGCCAAAGAAAUUGUCUUGUCCAUCAUCACGGCCGCCCGCAAGAAGCGGCAGACGUCGCUGGACAGCCCCGACUUGAGCGAGCGAGGCGACGCCGCGCCGGCCUUCCCCGUGGUGGUGACCACCACGGCCUCUGCGACGAUGACGACGGCCACCAUUUCCACGACUCUCAUCAUGGCCACCCAGUACAGUAGCAGCGCAACAGUUCCUACCGGCUCUGCCCAUUCUCUAGUCGAACUCGGAUCCACCGGAGGACAGCCGGCCUUGCCGGUGGAAGCCUCCGAGUUCCGUUUGAGCACGGCCGAAGUGCCGGCCACGCCUCCGACGGUCGAGAGGAAGCGGUCGGCCUCGCUGGGCGGCGAAACGGUCAUGCCGCCGCCGUCGCCCAUUUUGGCCAUGGCCGACCUGGCCGGCAUCACGGAAAUGGGGACGGACGGAUUGGCCCAGGCCUCUGGGUCGUCGGAGCCGUUCCGCAGUCGGACCUCGUCUGGAAGUUUUGUCGUCAAUAAACUCCACCCCAUCGACGCUGCCGGAAUACGGAGCUAUUCCGGUCUGAGUGCCGUCACCCAGGAGCGCAUCCGCCUCUUUGAGCAGGAAACGAAAGCAAUGUUGCAAAGAGAUUUGGCCCGUCAAGUCAGGAGAGAGGGCGAGCCCAUGCCGGUGGCAUCGGCUGGAGGCAUCCGUCGCCUGGACAAGACGGAAGUCGAGUCUGCCUGGCAUCGAGCCAAACUGGAAAUGGAAACGGAUGACUUUCUCGACGUCCUGGCUGACAAUCUUUCCGGUUCCUGGAUGUCAAUGGGCCCGUUUUAGGUCCAUGCAUACCAAUGGCAUUUUACAUGAUAAAACACAAUUCACUAAAAAAUAUUUAAAAAACAAAAAAAGCAAAGUCGAAAUAGGAAGGGCGUUGGCCGAUUCGACGGCGG
rnacentral:misc_RNA from 1 species